rnacentral:rRNA from 1 species
AGAACGAACGCUGGCGGCAUGCCUAAUACAUGCAAGUCGAACGAACACUUCGGUGUUAGUGGCGCACGGGUGCGUAACGCGUGGGAAUCUGCCCUUGGGUUCGGAAUAACAGUUGGAAACGACUGCUAAUACCGGAUGAUAUCGAAAGAUCAAAGAUUUAUCGCCCAGGGAUGAGCCCGCGUAGGAUUAGCUAGUUGGUGAGGUAAAGGCUCACCAAGGCGACGAUUCUUAGCUGGUCUGAGAGGAUGAUCAGCCACACUGGGACUGAGACACGGCCCAGACUCCUACGGGAGGCAGCAGUAGGGAAUAUUGGACAAUGGGC